GUGCUCACUCUGGCAGCACAUAUACUAAAAUUGGAAGGAUACAGAGAAAACUGGCAUUGCCCCUGUGCAAGGAUGACAUGCAAUUCGUGAAACGUUCCAUAUUUUA